rnacentral:misc_RNA from 1 species
GAUGAAGAACGCAGCGAAAUGCGAUAAGUAGUGUGAAUUGCAGAAUUCAGUGAAUCAUCGAAUCUUUGAACGCACAUUGCGCCCCUUGGUAUUCCAUGGGGCAUGCCUGUUCGAGCGUCAUUUGUACCUUCAAGCUCUGCUUGGUGUUGGGUGUUUGUCUCGCCUCUGCGUGUAGACUCGCCUCAAAACAAUUGGCAGCCGGCGUAUUGAUUUCGGAGCGCAGUACAUCUCGCGCUUUGCACUCAUAACGACGACGUCCAAAAGUUCAUUUUUACACUCUUGACCUCGGAUCAGGUAGGGAUACCCGCUGAACUUAAGCAUAUCAAUAAGCGGAGGA